UACAGGGGGGGCAAGCGUUGUUCGGAAUUACUGGGCGUAAAGGGCUCGUAGGUGGCCAACUAAGUCAGACGUGAAAUCCCUCAGCUUAACUGGGGAACUGCGUCUGAUACUGGCGAGCUUGAGUGCAGGAGAGGAACGCGGAAUUCCAGGUGUAGCGGUGAAAUGCGUAGAUAUCUGGAGGAACACCGGUGGCGAAGGCGGCGUUCUGGACUGCAACUGACACUGAGAAACGAAAGCCAGGGUAGCAAACGGG
rnacentral:rRNA from 1 species